CAAAAACAUCACCUCAUGAAAAAUCAUAAGAGGCCCAGCCUGCCCAGUGAUAAUUUUAACGGCCGCGGUAUCCUAACCGUGCAAAGGUAGCGUAAUCACCUGUUUCUUAAUUAGAGACCUGUAUGAAUGGCACAACGAGAAUCAAACUGUCUCCUUUUUCCGGUCAGUGAAACUAAUCUUCCUGUGAAAAAGCAGGAAUUUCCUAACAAGACGAGAAGACCCUUUGGAGCUUAAGACAAAUAAAAUUUACAGCCCACUUCUCCCUUAUACACUUACAGCACUAAAUUUUAAUAGUCUUCAGUUGGGGCAACUACGGAGUAAAAAUAAACCUCCAAGAUGUAACGGAACUUUCCUAAACAAAAAGCCACAGCUUUACGUAUCAACAAAUUGACACUAUUAGACCCAAUAUUUUGAUUAACGAACCAAGUUACCCUAGGGAUAACAGCGCAAUUUACUCUGAGAGUCCCUAUCGACGAGUAAGCUUACGACCUCGAUGUUGGAUCAAGGCAUCCCAGUGGCGCAACCGCUACUAAAGGUUCGUUUGUUCAACGAUUAAAACCUCACGUGAUCUGAGUUCCAGACCGGA
rnacentral:rRNA from 1 species